rnacentral:rRNA from 1 species
AGCGAACGCUGGCGGCGUGCCUAACACAUGCAAGUCGAACGUGAAACCCCGCAAGGGGGAGUAAAGUGGCGUACGGGUGAGUAAUACGUAGGUAAUCUACCCCAGAGUCUGGAAUAACCGGCCGAAAGGCUGGCUAAUACUGGAUAGAGCGACGGAAUCCGUAAUUGGGUUUUUCGGGAAAGGGAGCUCGCAAGAGCCUUCGCUCUGGGAUGAGCCUGCGUCCCAUCAGCUAGUUGGUAAGGUAACGGCUUACCAAGGCGAUGACGGGUAGCUGGUCUGAGAGGAUGAUCAGCCACACUGGAACUGAAACACGGUCCAGACUCCUACGGGAGGCAGCAGUGGGGAAUCUUGCGCAAUGGGCGAAAGCCUGACGCAGCCACGCCGCGUGAGUGAAGAAGGCCUUCGGGUUGUAAAGCUCUGUCGGAAGGGACGAAAACUCCUGGUGUUAACAGCAUCAGGAAUUGACGGUACCUUUAGAGGAAGCACCGGCUAACUCUGUGCCAGCCGCCGCAGUAACAC